rnacentral:rRNA from 1 species
CCCUUAGAUGUUCUGGGCCGCACACGCGCUACACUGAAGGAGGCAGCGUGUACUCCUGGAUCGAAAGAUUUGGGUAACCCGCGAAUCUCCUUCGUGCUAGGGAUUGAGGUUUGCAAUUAUCCUUCAUGAACGAGGAAUUCCCAGUAAGUGCAAGUCAUAAGCUUGCGCUGACUACGUCCCUGCCCUUUGUACACACCGCCCGUCGCUCCUACCGAUUGAGUGAUCUGGUGAAUAAUUCGGACUGCAGCACUGCUUGGUCUCCAGGCUUUGCAGCGGAAAGUUUAGUGAACCUUAUCGCUUAGAGGAAGGAGAAGUCGUAACA